rnacentral:rRNA from 2 species
GACGAACGCUGGCGGCGUGCCUAAUACAUGCAAGUAGAACGCUGAAGAGAGGAGCUUGCUCUUCUUGGAUGAGUUGCGAACGGGUGAGUAACGCGUAGGUAACCUGCCUUGUAGCGGGGGAUAACUAUUGGAAACGAUAGCUAAUACCGCAUAACAAUGGAUGACACAUGUCAUUUAUUUGAAAGGGGCAAUUGCUCCACUACAAGAUGGACCUGCGUUGUAUUAGCUAGUAGGUGAGGUAACGGCUCACCUAGGCGACGAUACAUAGCCGACCUGAGAGGGUGAUCGGCCACACUGGGACUGAGACACGGCCCAGACUCCUACGGGAGGCAGCAGUAGGGAAUCUUCGGCAAUGGGGGCAACCCUGACCGAGCAACGCCGCGUGAGUGAAGAAGGUUUUCGGAUCGUAAAGCUCUGUUGUAAGUCAAGAACGAGUGUGAGAGUGGAAAGUUCACACUGUGACGGUAGCUUACCAGAAAGGGACGGCUAACUACGUGCCAGCAGCCGCGGUAAUACGUAGGUCCCGAGCGUUGUCCGGAUUUAUUGGGCGUAAAGCGAGCGCAGGCGGUUUGAUAAGUCUGAAGUUAAAGGCUGUGGCUCAACCAUAGUUCGCUUUGGAAACUGUCAAACUUGAGUGCAGAAGGGGAGAGUGGAAUUCCAUGUGUAGCGGUGAAAUGCGUAGAUAUAUGGAGGAACACCGGUGGCGAAAGCGGCUCUCUGGUCUGUAACUGACGCUGAGGCUCGAAAGCGUGGGGAGCGAACAGG